AGAAGAAGAAGAAGAAGAAGAAGAAGAAGAAGAAGAUGGUGAUGGUGAUGGUGAUGGUGAUGAUGAUGAUGAUAGUAGUGAAGAAGUCAACGAAGACGAAAGCGAGUAAGCUCUGCAUCACAGUCUUGGAAGGUAUAUGUAAUGAAUUGUAGAAGUGCCGAUAUCUCGUAUUGCAUUAGUCAUUUUCUGCACUUGAAUUGUAUUAUCAUUAUUAUUAUUUGGUUGGGUAGUAUUUUUGGUAGACAGCAUACCGUAUUAAGAAAGUAGUGUGAGUUGGUUAUAUGGAAUUAUUUAUAAUGUUAUGAUCUUUUUGCUGUGUGAAA